AUUGAACGCUGGCGGCAGGCCUAACACAUGCAAGUCGAGCGGAGCGGCGGACGGGUGAGUAAUGCCUAGGCAUCUGCCUGGUAGUGGGGGAUAACGUCCGGAAACGGGCGCUAAUACCGCAUACUAUCAGAUGAGCCUAGGUCGGAUUAGCUAGUUGGUGGGGUAAAGGCCUACCAAGGCGACGAUCCGUAACUGGUCUGAGAGGAUGAUCAGUCACACUGGGACUGAGACACGGCCCAGACUCCUACGGGAGGCAGCAGUGGGGAAUCUUCGGCAAUGGACGAAAGUCUGACCGAGCAACGCCGCGUGUAUGAAGAAGGCCUUCGGGUUGUAAAGUACUUUCAGCGGGGAGGCGUUACCCGCAGAAGAAGCACCGGCUAACUCCGUGCCAGCAGCCGCGGUAAUUC
rnacentral:rRNA from 1 species